ACGCGCAGAGAGAGAGAGAGAGCCACGUCCCUGUUGCAAAAUAAGCCGUAGGCUUCUUCACUGUGAAGCAAACACAAGUUUUUGACAGAAGUGAAGAACACAUACACUCAAGAUCUCGAUGCAAUUCUCACACGAAUAAGGUGGCUAAUUAAGUAGUGGGAGAGUCACCGGAAGAUUGUCGGAGAUUUGUCCAGCAGGUGACAUCUCCAUCUCAGCUUCUGCUCCCACAUGAUGAUUAUUCUCCAUCUGUACGAUAAUCAUAGGUCAAAAUCACUAUUCACUUUCUCUUUUUGUCUUCUAUCCAAGGAAUAUCUUUUUCACACCACCAAAUAACAACCAUUAAAAAACACUACAGAAGGUUAUGUUUCUCAUAAUUUGUGUGUUCUUUAUGUUUAAGCUUUUAAGUUUGGAAGCAGU
rnacentral:lncRNA from 1 species